CAGUAGCCGCGGUAAUACCGAGGAUGCAGGCAUUAUCCGGAAUGAUUGGGCGUAAAGCGUCUGUAGGUGGCUUUUCAAGUCCGCUGUCAAAUCCCAGGGCUCAACCCUGGACAGGCGGUGGAAACUACCAAGCUAGAGUACGGUAGGGGCAGAGGGAAUUUCCAGUGGAGCGGUGAAAUGCGUUGAGAUCGGAAAGAACACCAACGGCGAAAGCACUCUGCUGGGCCGACACUGACACUGAGAGACGAAAGCUAGGGGAGCAAAUGGGAUUAGAUACCCCAGUAGUCCCUGUCUCUUAUAC
rnacentral:rRNA from 1 species